UUUAUUUUAUAUUUUGUGUGUUGUUGUGA
rnacentral:piRNA from 1 species